GGGUCAAAGGAGCAAUCCGGUGAAGGGUGGGCUCGCGUCCGAUUAGAUAGUUGGUGAGGUAACGGCCCACCAAGUCGACGAUCGGUAGCCGACCUGAGAGGGUGAUCGGCCACAUUGGGACUGAGACACGGCCCAAACUCCUACGGGAGGCAGCAGUGGGGAAUAUUGGGCAAUGGGGGAACCCUGACCCAGCAACGCCGCGUGAGGGAAGAAGGUUUUCGGAUCGUAAACCUCUGUCCCUAGGUGAAGAGGAAGAGACGGUAGCCAGGAGGAAGCCCGGCUAACUACGUGCC
rnacentral:rRNA from 1 species